ACCCGGUUAGCUCAGUCGGUAGAGCAUCAGACUUUUAAUCUGAGGGUCCAGGGUUCGAGCCCCUGAUUGGGUG
rnacentral:tRNA from 1 species